CCUACGGGAGGCUGCAGUGGGGAAUAUUGGACAAUGGGCGAAAGCCUGAUCCAGCCAUGCCGCGUGUGUGAAGAAGGCCUUCGGGUUGUAAAGCACUUUCAGUGGGGAAGAAAGCCUUGGGGCUAAUACCCUCGAGGAAGGACAUCACCCACAGAAGAAGCACCGGCUAACUCCGUGCCAGCAGCCGCGGUAAUACGGAGGGUGCGAGCGUUAAUCGGAAUUACUGGGCGUAAAGCGCGCGUAGGCGGUCUGAUAAGCCGGUUGUGAAAGCCCCGGGCUCAACCUGGGUACGGCAUCCGGAACUGUCAGGCUAGAGUGCAGGAGAGGAAGGUAGAAUUCCCGGUGUAGCGGUGAAAUGCGUAGAGAUCGGGAGGAAUACCAGUGGCGAAGGCGGCCUUCUGGACUGACACUGACGCUGAGGUGCGAAAGCGUGGGUAGCAAACAGGAUUAGAUACCCGUGUAGUC
rnacentral:rRNA from 1 species